rnacentral:rRNA from 1 species
UACGUAGGGGGCAAGCGUUGUUCGGAAUUACUGGGCGUAAAGCGCGUGUAGGCGGUCUGGCAAGUCAGAUGUGAAAGCCCCGGGCUCAACUUGGGAACUGCAUUUGAUACUGCUAAGCUAGAGUACAGAAGAGGUGACUGGAAUUCCCAGUGUAGCGGUGAAAUGCGUAGAUAUUGGGAGGAACACCAGAUGCGAAGGCGGGUCACUGGGCUGAUACUGACGCUAAAGCGCGAAAGCCAGGGGAGCGAACGGG